rnacentral:lncRNA from 1 species
AGCCAACAACCCAAGUCCAUAAAAAUAUAUACAUAUGCAAACUAUUCUAUAAUGCAUUUUUCAUCAACUUUCAGCCAGACAUGUAACUGCAAACAAACAAAUUUCAGCGAAAAAUCGUACCUUCGAGAUCAAACUAGCAGCAUUUCCACUCAGAAGCGUUCCAGCACGAGCCUCCAUCAAAAAACUUUCCGGUCUCCGGCCACAAAAUCUCGUUCUUGAGCUCAAGCUCCUCAAAGCCCAUCUCAGAUACAUGAGAUCCGAUGCGGUCAAGCCCGGAUCACAAAAUGAUAGAUAGAAGUAAUAAUCCAAUAGAAAAGCAACGAAAUUAUCCUUAUAUUCUCUUUAAAUUUCGUCUCAUUUUCUUCGAUGCUUUUGGCCCAAUUCUCCAGAAACUUCUUUCUCGGCUUUUCUUCCUCUUCUCAGCUCUGCAGAUGGACCUAGCUUCCAAGUUCCAUAAAACAAAAAAACAGAAAAGAAUCAAAGAAUGGAUCGAAAAAUAGUACAAAAAAAAAAAUCCAAGUCAAACAUUAACCAAUCAAAAUCCGAAUCUUCCCCCGAUUUGGCGAUGCUUCCAGCUGUGUGUGUGUGUGUGUGUGUGAGAGAGAGAUAGAGGGAGGGUGUUCGUGGUAAAAGAAGAAGCGGAGAAGACGGGAGAGAAGCGUUGAGGGCGGCGGAGAGGGUGAACGCGACCCCUGCCUCAGGGGUAGUUCUAUAUACACCCC